UACGGGGGGGGCAAGCGUUGUUCGGAAUUACUGGGCGUAAAGGGCUCGUAGGCGGCCAACUAAGUCGGACGUGAAAUCCCCAGGCUCAACCUGGGAACUGCGUCCGAUACUGGAUGGCUUGAAUUCGGGAGAGGGAUGCAGAAUUCCAGGUGUAGCGGUGAAAUGCGUAGAUAUACGGAGGAACACCUGCGGCGAAGGCGGGUAGCUGGGCCAACACUGACGCUGAUGCGCGAAAGCUAGGGGAGCAAACGGG
rnacentral:rRNA from 1 species